rnacentral:rRNA from 1 species
UGGGGAAUAUUGCGCAAUGGGCGAAAGCCUGAUGCAGCGACGCCGCGUGAGGGAUGAAGGUUUUCGGAUCGUAAACCUCUGUCAGAAGGGAAGAAACUACAUUGUGCUAAUCAGCAGUGUACUGACGGUACCUUCAAAGGAAGCACCGGCUAACUCCGUGCCAGCAGCCGCGGUAAUACGGAGGGUGCAAGCGUUAAUCGGAAUUACUGGGCGUAAAGCGCACGUAGGCUGUAGUGUAAGUCAGGGGUGAAAUCCCACGGCUCAACCGUGGAACUGCCUUUGAUACUGCACAACUUGAACGCGGGAGAGGGUGGCGGAAUUCCAGGUGUAGGAGUGAAAUCCGUAGAUAUCUGGAGGAACAUCAGUGGCGAAGGCGGCCACCUGGACCGGUAUUGACGCUGAGGUGCGAAAGCGUGGGGAGCAAACAG